rnacentral:lncRNA from 1 species
ACAAGUUAUACAAAGAAGAAUUCUUUGACCUAUAUGGUUGUGAAUCAUUGGAAACUUGUAAAUUUUGUCUUAUGGGUAAGAUGAUCAAGACUCUAUUUUCUGGACAUGAAGAGCAACGAAUGAGUUGUUAGCCCUAGUACAUAUAGAUGUAUAUGGACCAAUAACAACUCAAGUCAGAGGAGAAUACUCUUAUUUUAUCACCUUUACAGAUGAUCUAUCA